CAGAGAAGGAGAACUCACAGAUGCCGGAGAGGGCAAAAUGUAUUACAGAAGGAUUAACCAGCAGACAAUGACAAAAAAGGAUUAACUCUUCCAGUACCAUUAAUGCUAAUAACAGUUCCGAGCAGAUAAGUGCCAGAGGAAUAACUGUUGCUGAAGAUUGAUGACAUCAACACCACAGCAUAAAAGUACAUGGCUCAAGCUAAUUUCAGAGUUUCGACAGAACUCAUGGCCAACACAGAAUGGACUGAAGAAUCUAUGUUAUCCAAUGGCUGAAUCUGAACUUAUAAACAACAAACAUGAAUUGAACACUUCUAUGACCCUCUUGAAUUUAACAGGAACACAACACAGGUGGCACGGUGGCUCAGUGGUUAGCACUACUACCUCAGAGAGCCAGGGACCCAGGUUCGAUGUUACCCUCGGGUGAC